CCAAAUUCUGUUCCAUCCCAGGCUACACGAAACAUUUUCCUGCUCAGCCCUGACCAGUGCCUCACUUAAACUGAAAGCUCUUUAAUCAGUAGAGAAGUCAGUCACUUCAGCCCCUGAAGCAAAGUACUGGAGAGUUUCCCCCAACAGCUGAAUUUGUUCCAGCAACAAAGAUUGGUUCCUCGACCCACCAGGGGCUCCAGAACAACAAAGGACGGUGCAUCAGCACGGGCUGUGUAAGCAGCAAAGAUUGGUCCCCAUGACUCACCAAUCACUCCAGGACCAGGAAGACCGGUGCCUCAGCACAGGCUGCAUAAGAUCAGAACAUAAGACAGGCCAGACUAGGUCAGACCAAUGGUCCAUCAAACCCAGCAUCCUGUCUAUCGACAGUGGCCAAUGCCAGGUAUGUCCGAAUGAAGGAACAGAAGAGUGGAAUCAUCAAGUGCCCUGUUGAGCAGUCCCAGCUUCUGGCAGUCAGAGGUUUUGGAAUACCCAGAACAUGGGGUUUGCAUCCCUGAACAUCUUGCUAAUAGCCCUCAAUGGACCUAUCCUCCAGGAACUUAACAAAUUC